rnacentral:rRNA from 1 species
AAGCGGAGGAAAAGAAACCAACAGGGAUUGCCCCAGUAACGGCGAGUGAAGCGGCAACAGCUCAAAUUUGAAAUCUGGCCCCUCCCCCGGGGGGGCCCGAGUUGUAAUUUGCAGAGGAUGCUUCUGGCGAGGUGCCUUCCGAGUUCCCUGGAACGGGACGCCGCAGAGGGUGAGAGCCCCGUCUGGUCGGACACCGAGCCUCUGUGAAGCUCCUUCGACGAGUCGAGUAGUUUGGGAAUGCUGCUCUAAAUGGGAGGUAUAUGUCUUCUAAAGCUAAAUACCGGCCAGAGACCGAUAGCGCACAAGUAGAGUGAUCGAAAGAUGAAAAGCACUUUGAAAAGAGGGUUAAACAGUACGUGAAAUUGUUGAAAGGGAAGCGCUCACGACCAGACCUGGUCCCGGCGAAUCACCCGGCGUUCUCGCCGGUGCACUUCGACGGGCUUCCAGGCCAGCAUCAGUCCGCGCCGGGGGACAAAGGCGGCGGGAACGUGGCUCCCCAGGGAGUGUUAUAGCCCGCCGCGCAAUGCCCCGGGGGCGGACUGAGGACCGCGCGUCACCGCAAGGAUGCUGGCGUAAUGGUCGUCAGCGACCCGUCUUGAAACACGGACCAAGGAGUCGUCCUCGUAUGCGAGUGUUGGGGCGUCAAACCCCCCGCGCGUAAUGAAAGUGAACGGCAGGUGAGAGCCCUCGCGGGCGCAUCAUCGACCGAUCCUGAUGUUCUCGGAUGGAUUUGAGUAGGAGCAUACGGGGCCGGACCCGAAAGAAGGUGAACUAUGCCUGUGUAGGGUGAAGCCAGAGGAAACUCUGGUGGAGGCUCGCAGCGGUUCUGACGUGCAAAUCGAUCGUCAAACAUGGGCAUGGGGGCGAAAGACUAAUCGAACCU